UACGUAGGGAGCAAGCGUUGUCCGGAAUCAUUGGGCGUAAAGCGCGCGUAGGUGGCCUCAUAAGUCCGCUGUGAAAGUCAAAGGCUCAACCUUUGAAAGCCGGUGGAUACUGUGAGGCUAGAGUACGGAAGAGGCGAGUGGAAUUCCUGGUGUAGCGGUGGAAUGCGUAGAGAUCAGGAAGAACACCGGUGGCGAAAGCGCUCUGCUGGACCUUAACUGACGCUGAGGGACGAAAGCUAGGGGAGCGAAUGGG
rnacentral:rRNA from 1 species